rnacentral:misc_RNA from 1 species
CAUUUGUUCAUACAGGUUUGACAGUAGAUGCAAAAGUUGUUGCUAACAAAAUGGUUGUUAAUGGAUCCAAUGUGUCGCAACACUCCAACCCCACUGAGAUAAAAACAUUUCUUGGCGAGAUAAGUAUAAAUAGGCGGCGGCUUGAGCUUACAGUGACACCUACAAAAAUCACGCUGAUGGGUGAAACAAUAGAUUGGGUGAAUGGUACCACAUUGAGUCAUGGUAAAACCAAAAUAGUCGUAGAUCAAGCGGGUACAAUGGUUGUGGUAAUGUUUUAUGACAGAGUUACCUUUCUUAUUAUGAGGCACCUGAGGUCAAAGUCAUUACUCCGCGCGGGAAAGGUCAAUUUUCUCGGCCUGUACAUUGUGGAAUACAAAGGACUUUCUUAUCAUACUCACGGACUACUUGGCCAAUUCUUGCACAGAAACGUGAUUUUAAAGAAAACGAAAAAUCGAAAAGGAAAGUUAAUGGGACGGUUGAGAGUGAGUGGCAAUACGCAAAGACCACGCAAGGUCAUGGCAACCCUAGGCCAUCGGUUAAAUCUUGCUAAAAAUGAAACAGUCUCGUGUUGGAUGGUCCAGCAUAAUGGAGGCGCUCUGCUAGAUGGAAAAAUCACGGAUUAUUUGAUUAAACGAAAAUCAGUCGACAAAUUAGACGAAACAACUACAGACGAAAAUAAUGAAAAAAUACCGAAUGUUAAACAUAAACUUGAGAAAGGUAAAACCAGAAGCUGAAAAAGACAGCGAUUCAAAUGCACUAGAAUAAUUUGAUGCUUUAAUUGAUGUGACUUUACAGAUAAUUCAUCAUUCCUGGCACUGUUAUGGUGACACUUACGAAAUAUAGAUAAAGAUUUACAAUGAAUUAGUGGAUGGGGCAAUUGCUAUAAUAUUUGUGUGAAGCUUACGAGACCCAACAGGGUUAAAUAAGUUUGAAAUAACAUGAACCAAGAAAAAAAAAACACUUUGCUAUUGAACUUCUAAUUUUGAAGUCAAAAGAUGAAAUAGUGUUUAUCAUAUUUGUUUAAUAUGUUAAAAAGUGUGAAGACAUGCAACACAGAAGUUCGUAAAACGAGAUUUAAAUGUAGAUGUAUUUUAUUUCCUUUAUGAUCAAGGGAAAUCAUAGGACUAUAUUAUAUGCAUACUUGUAUAUUAUGCUUGAAUAUACUUGCAUUGUGUUUGAUAUAUAUUUGUCAAUUCUGUAAAAUAUACAUGUAUAUUCAUGACAUAUUGUGAACUAUCACAGGGAGAUUCAUCACAGUUUUGCUUUGUUUAAGUGCCUUUCACAUGAAAGGUACACUAAAAUUGUUACAAACAAUGGCUUGGUAUUAUUUCAGUGAAAUAACAUAGCAUCUCCGCCAGAGACAAAAUAACGUUAUAUUUAUACCAUUGAGGACAUUCAUGUUGUACAAAGGAUAUUUUAUUGUUUUAAUUCACAUAAAGGAUAAUGUGCAGUGCAAUUUAUCUGAUUGUAUAGCAGGGUAGGAGACUCAAACUGCUGGAACUUAAGGCUAGUUGUAUUGGACGCCCACACUGGAUGAACAAAGGCUAAUAGUAGAGGACGCCCGCACUGCCUGAACAUUAGAUCAGUUUUUUUUUUUGAACAACUUGAGACUAGUACGGGUAACCCGUACUACCUGAAUUUUAGGCUAGUAGUACGGGACACCGGCACUACCUGAACUUCAAGCUAGUAGUACGGGACACCCGCAUUGCCUGACCUUGAGGCUUUAGUAGGGUACACCCGCAAAGGCUGAACAUUAGGCUAGUUGUAUGGGACAAGUGCACUGCCAGAACUAGAGGCUGCACUGCCAGAACUUGAGAAUAGUAGUAAAGGACAUCCGCACUGCCUGAACUUGUAGCUAGAUAUACGAAAUCCGCACUACAUGGACUUGAGGCUAGGUGUAUGGAAAAUCCGCACUACAUAAGACUUGAGGCUAGACGACGGGACACUCGCACUACAUAGACUUGAGGCUAGGUGUACGGAAAAUCUGCACUACAUGGACUUGAGGCUAGGUGUACGGAAAACCAGCACUACCUGAACUUGAGGCUAGGUAUACGGAAAAUUAGCACUACAUGGGCUUGAGGCUAAUUGUACGGAAGAUCCGCGCUACAUGGACUUGAGGCUUGGUGUACGUUAAAUCCGCACUACGUAGACCUGAGGCUAGGUUUACGGAAAAUCAUCACUACCUGAACUUGAGGCUAGGUGUACGAAAAAUCCGCACUACAUUGACUUAAGGCUAGGUGUACGGAAAAUCCACACUACAUGGACUUGAGGCUAGGUGUACGGCACACCCGCACUACCUGAACAGAAUGUUCAAAACUGCAAAUUCAUUCUUAUUGAAUUUUACUGAUUUUUCGUUACAUAUCGAAGGCAACCACAUAUAUAGGUACAAGUUUUCGAUUUAUCUUAUGUUAAAACUGAACCCUGGCUCCACAGAUUCUACAAAUUCUCUAUACUGUUUUGAUAAAAAACAAUGAAGUGAACGAUUGCAAAUUGUUGAACCUCGAUGGCUUCAAGAUAUAUUAUAAGCACUAUUAGUCGUCAUUAAGACAUGGCUGUAUUAAAAUAAAGUCAUUUGAAGUGGU